rnacentral:rRNA from 1 species
GACGAACGCUGGCGGCGUGCUUAACACAUGCAAGUCGAACGGAGUGGCGAACGGGUGAGUAACACGUGGGUGAUCUGCCCUGCACUUCGGGAUAAGCUUGGGAAACUGGGUCUAAUACCGGAUAGUGCAAGAUGAGCUCGCGGCCUAUCAGCUUGUUGGUGGGGUAAUGGCCUACCAAGGCGUCGCCGGGUAGCCGGCCUGCGAGGGUGUACGGGCACAUUGGGACUGAUAUACGGCCCAGAGUCGUACGGGGGGCAGAAGUGGGGAAUAUUGCACAAGGGGCGGAAGCAUGAUGCAGCGACGCCGCGUGGGGGAUGAAGGCCUUCGGGUUGUGAACUCCUUUCGACAGGGACGCGGUACCUGUAUAAGAAGCACCGGCUAACUACGUGCCAGCAGCCGCGGUAAUUC